GUGGGGAAUCUUCCGCAAUGGACGAAAGUCUGACGGAGCAACGCCGCGUGAGUGAAGAAGGUUUUCGGAUCGUAAAGCUCUUUCGUUAGGGACGAACGUGCUCUUUGUGAAUAAUGAGGAGUAAUGACGGUACCUAAAUAAGAAGCCACGGCUAACUACGUGCCAGCAGCCGCGGUAAUACGUAGGUGGCAAGCGUUGUCCGGAAUUAUUGGGCGUAAAGCGCGCGCAGGCGGGAUAUCAAGUCUGUCUUAAAAGUGCGAGGCUCAACCUCGUGAGGGGACAGAAACUGGUAUUCUUGAGUGUCGGAGAGGAAAGUGGAAGUCCAAGUGUAGCGGUGAAAUGCGUAGAGAUUUGGAAGAACACCAGUGGCGAAGGCGACUUUCUGGACGAUGUCUGACGCUGAGGCGCGAAAGCUAGGGGAGCGAACGGGAUUAGAAACCCCAGUAGUCC
rnacentral:rRNA from 1 species